rnacentral:rRNA from 1 species
AUUGAACGCUGGCGGCAUGCUUUACACAUGCAAGUCGAACGGCAGCGCGGGCUUCGGCCUGGCGGCGAGUGGCGAACGGGUGAGUAAUAUAUCGGAACGUACCCAAGAGUGGGGGAUAACGUAGCGAAAGUUACGCUAAUACCGCAUACGAUCUAAGGAUGAAAGUGGGGGAUCUUCGGACCUCAUGCUCAUGGAGUGGCCGAUAUCUGAUUAGCUAGUUGGUGAGGUAAAGGCUCACCAAGGCGACGAUCAGUAGCUGGUUUGAGAGAACGACCAGCCACACUGGAACUGAGACACGGUCCAGACUCCUACGGGAGGCAGCAGUGGGGAAUUUUGGACAAUGGGCGCAAGCCUGAUCCAGCCAUGCCGCGUGGAUGAUGAAGGCCCUAGGGUUGUAAAGUCCUUUCGGCGGGGAAGAUAAUGACGGUACCCGCAGAAGAAGCCCCGGCUAACUUCGUGCCAGCAGCCGCGGU